GCACACGGCAACGCGUAUUUUGUUAUUGCGCGUGAUGGCACUUAUUUUAAAUCGUCGAAUUCGGCACCUAUUUCGCUUAAGACAGAUGGUGUAUGGGCAGAUAGUGAUUGUUAAGUACCUUAAAUUUGUUUUUUUGAAUGAGACUUGUUUAAACGACCAACAGUGUAUUCAGAUUUCGACGAGGGAAAUGUAAACUUGGCGCAAACAGAGGAAAGUGCAUGACGUAUCAGUCUUGGAAUGAUGGCUAUUAAUCAUGGCUAUGUGCUAGAUAUUCCAGUUAACAUUAGACACAGCUACUAAACUAAAGCACCAAAGCUAGCUAGCUACCUAGCUAUAUAUAUAUUAGCCGAAGUAGUGGACCAGAAGAUGGAGUGUGUGAUGUUGUGUUUAAUUAUUCCAUACCACUGUGUGGUUAAUAGAUAAAGGUGCUAAAAGGUGCAGUUGUUCCAUUUUCAUCUGGUCUGCAUAUUUAUACUCUGUCAAAUAUUUUGCAAGCUUUAAGAGUGUUUGUCAAAGUUUUAUAGUUACCAACUUAGUGUUUUACAGUGGUUCCUGUGGACUUUCUUUUUACAUUUCCUUAAAUUUGAAAUAUCUUUUCAGCUAUUACGUUAUUUUCUCUGGCUGGUCUGCAAAAAUAUAAAUUUCGUACAUUUCUAUGAAGUCUCUCAAUGUUAAGAUUACAGUUUAUAAACAUUUUUGCCGGUUAUUGUAUAAUUGUUUUGCUUUUAUACAUUGAUUUUAUGUUAUUUUUGAGCUACAGCAUCAUUUUUACUAUCUGGUCUGCAAAUUACACUCUUGUCAAAUAUUUUGUACUCUUCAAGAGUGUUUGUAAAAUUUUUGAAUAGUUACUAAUUUGUGGUGUUUUAUUAUGUUCCUGUGAAUUUUUUUCGCAUUUUCAUCAAUUUGGAAAGAUUUUUUCAACUAUGA